UAGAAGCAGCAGGGCCCACUGGCCUGAUACAUUUUAAACUUUUUAGCUCAGCACCCCGAAAACCUAGUUUUUAAUUCUUUGGUCUCUCAAUAAAAGUGUUUCUCAGAAGACCUUAAAGGCUAUCUGAAUGCUCCUGACCACAACUGCCAGUACCUCCUCUGUCUGAAACUCAACCCAAGGUGUAGUGGCGCAGCCCACUCCAGUAAGUGCAGCCCUAAGAAGACAGAAACUGGAGGGUCGCUUCAAAUAUGCUCAAG